rnacentral:lncRNA from 1 species
GUGGUACACUCAGUAAUGCCUGACACCAGGUCACCUCUGAUCACUUUAAGGACAUCAGCAUUGUCUUCCUCAACAUAUCUCCCAAAGCCUUGAUGAAAAGAAUCUCUCCUGGACAUUUCCAGAGUAGAUGGUGGUUCUUCCCCCAAAUUACAAGGAAUGGAGGCUGGGAAACUACAUUUCUGAGACUCCUUCAUCAUCAGGAUGCCAGAUAAUAUUUUAAAAGCUGACUCCACCAGAGACCCGAUUCUUGAACUUUUAAUGCACAUUUGGAAAUCCCGUGUUUAGUUGGCUUAGAUUAUAAACUGCAGGAGAACAAGAAGUGUAUCAAUUAUGUUCCAGUUUCUAGGAUGUACUCUUCUAGUGGAUCCACAAGCAAAAGGGAAGAGAGGCUAUUCCGUAUACUUACUAGAAUAUAUGAGUUUUACAAAUUGGAAUGAUAGGCAUUGAUAUUGACACAUCUGGAGAAGGAGUGAUCAAAGAGAAGUGGCCCUGGAGCUCUCCCCAUGAAAAGAUUAAAUUUUUAAGAAGAUGCUGCUCACCUAAAACUUAUCAAUAAAGUCAACUAUAGUUUCCAAUUGGUAAAUCAUUGUAUGAAAAAACAAUAAAACUAUGAAAUAAAAGUAAUAAGUAUUCUAAUGCCUUUCAGCUUGAAUAAAAUUGCAGUCAAUAAUUUGGUGCCAGAAAUGAUGUCAUCAUUGUAAAAAAACACUUGUGGAGAAGAAUACUGUAACAAGACACAUUUUCAUUCAACUCC